UCAGAAUUCUGCUUAACAGAGGACGUUUCCCCAGAGACCACGUCCUUACUAACCAUGUGUCCUCGGGAAUUAGUGAUGGGGAAAGACUAUUGGUGAAAGUUUACACAUCAGUUCACUGAAGAAGUAUGUGACAGUCAGCAAACAUGCGAGAUCACCCGAGUCUAGAGAGAACUUGUGGCAACUAUGGAGACCAAAGCCGAGUGGUCUGAGGGACGAGAACAGCUUUGUCUUGUUUUGGAUGCAUCAAAAGAUCAAGAUCCACUGGUCAUAAUCUUGGCAUUUUCAAACCCAGGGCUAGGAUGAAUUCUCUCACUUCCAGGGCCCCUACAGGGAGGUUUUUACCUUGUGAGCUUUGGCUUGCUUACCCAGUGAUGGGGCUAACCAUUAUAAGUCUUUGGGAUUUGAUAACAAAUUAAAGUGUCUGAUGGAAUUAA